CCCAAUGCAAGUGCUCCUAGGAAAACCUGCAGUAAAUGUGGCAGUGUAAAUCAUUUAUCUGCUAAUUGUAAAACUGUGACAGCCCGAGAAUCCGGGGGCCUGGAUUCUGACGUCACCACAUAAAACCCAUUUUUAAACACUUUUGAAAUCCUGUAUAUAUUUUUUUUUUUUCAAAAGAUAAUAAAAUCAGAGAGUUUAAAACUUGAAAGCCAUAAUAAGAGAAUUUCAAGAGAACAUUUAAACUUUAAUAAAUGAUUCGAAAGAGAACAUUUAAACCCCCUAAAAGCAACAGGAUCGCAUUCAGGUUACAGUAUUGAAAUUAGAAUCUACCACUAUUAUUACACAACAUCUCUUACCAAAUCAGAUCAUCUUCGAUAAGAAGAAUCACUGCCAACUAUUCCAGCUAUGACUUACACUUGAAUCUCUAUAGCACAGCUUUAGCUUGCACCAACCUCAUCAACUUUCCUGAACACUCCUCGACCACUGGAUCCUCAACUCUGUCUCCUCGCCUAGCAUUAGCCUUAUUCACAAUCUCAAUCAAUCAUCUCAUCUUUAAGCCUUUCUGAAAUGGUUAGAAAGGAAUAGCAAGGGUGAGCAACAAUGCUCAGCAAGUAAUAAUAAACAAUGAUAGUUCUGAAAUGAUAUAACAGAAGUUCACGAGUUCAAGAUAUAAGAGGAUUCAACCUGAGUUCACGAGUUUAGGUAUUGUAUAAGAAUAUCACAAUACCUUGUAGCAAUUGAACACUGAGGAAUUCAAUCUUUCCAAAAGAAUUAUUGAAUUGGACUAUCACAUUUUAAUUAAAACCAAGGUUAGGCAGCUGAUCAGUUCCGCACUAACCCCGAGCAGGCCCCGCCAUGCUCUAUCACUGGAUCCAAGGCACUCAUUGGCCUAACAUGACCACGAAUCUGGUCCACAGGUUUAUAUAAAAACAAUAAUCCAAUUCUCUAAUUCAAUUCAAGAAGCCAAUGUAAAUUAACAGAACAUCAUCAUAAAUAUCAUCAACAACAGAAUAAUUCCAAUUCAAACUUUGAUAAUAAUCUAUUCAUAAAUCAUGAUCC
rnacentral:lncRNA from 1 species